rnacentral:rRNA from 1 species
UACGUAGGGUGCAAACGUUGUUCGGAAUCACUGGCCCUAAAGAGCGCGUAGGCGGUCUGACAAGUCCCCUGUGAAAGCCCCCGGCUUAACCGGGGAACUGCAUGGGAUACUGUUGGGCUAGAGUGCAGGAGGGGAGAGCGGAAUUCCUGGUGGAGCGGUGAAAUGCGUAGAUAUCAGGAGGAACGCCGGCGGCGAAAGCGACUCUCUGGCCUGUAACUGACGCUGAGGCGCGAAAGCUAGGGGAGCAAACGGG